AAAACAAUAAUAGUAGCAACAACAACAACAAAAUUGUAAACGUUAAGACAAGUAAGUUGUUAUAUGAAUGUGUGUUUAGUACACGACGCGAAACAGAAACAGUAACAGUAACUGAAAACAGUAACAGCCCGUUUUGUGAUCAUUCAUUUGCGCGUUCGCUCGUUCGUUAUACGGAGAAGCAGAAGCCGCUCAACACGGGCAGCCGUUAAGUUGAAAUUUCGAUCGUAACUUUGCAGUUGACUGUUGCGCACGGAAGCGUUCGGAAGUGGAAUAUAUUUUAUUAAUAAUAUAAAAGCUGUUGUAGUAGGAAUCCAAUACCAGGCACUAUUAUCAUCUUAAACCACAAAACGCCAAAAGUAAAAAAGAAGGAAAGCCAGCAUUAUUACAAACUUCAGAAGCUUACCAGCUUAGUUCGUUACCAAGCACGCAGCCAAUAUCACGCACAACCGAAAGCAAACGCUUAAACGUUCCGUAUAAACAUUUUGCAGCAAAAUUUUAAAUAUUAAAAUUUUAAUUAAAAUUCGUAUUUUAAAAUAAUUAAUAGAUUUAUAUUAAAAACGGGCUUCAGUGUUAUUACUAAAGUAAUUACAUUUAUCACUAAAAAAAGCAUUAAAAACUUCCUCGUAUUACUUUUCAAAAAAAGUCAAACUGCAUGACAGAUUUUGAUUUACUGACGAGCAAGAAGUUCGCCAAUCAACUGACUACAAAUAGCGUCUCAUACACGCCCACGUAGCCAAUAGCGUUGUUAUUAUUUUUUUACUAUUACUACGUCGACCAUAUCUGUUUUGAGAAACUUCAGUAACAACAAUAAAAACAAAAGCAACGACAGCAGCAAUAAUAGCAGUUACCGUAGAAAAUUAUAAAAAAAAAAAAAAA